rnacentral:rRNA from 1 species
UACGUAGGGGGCUAGCGUUGUCCGGAAUCAUUGGGCGUAAAGCGCGUGUAGGCGGCCCGAUAAGUCCGCUGUGAAAGUCCAGGGCUCAACCCUGAGAUGCCGGUGGAUACUGUCGGGCUCGAGUCCGGAAGAGGCGAGUGGAAUUCCUGGUGUAGCGGUGAAAUGCGCAGAUAUCAGGAGGAACACCAAUGGCGAAGGCAGCUCGCUGGGACGUGACUGACGCUGAGACGCGAAAGCGUGGGGAGCAAACAGG